AUUGAACGCUGGCGGCAGGCCUAACACAUGCAAGUCGAGCGGAUGAAGGGAGCUUGCUCCUGGAUUCAGCGGCGGACGGGUGAGUAAUGCCUAUGAAUCUGCCUGGUAGUGGUGGAUAACGUCCGGAAACGGGCGCUAAUACCGCAUACGUCCUGAGGGAGAAAGUGGGGGAUCUUCGGACCUCACGCUAUCAGAUGAGCCUAGGUCGGAUUAGCUAGUUGGUUGGGUAAAGGCCUACCAAGGCGACGAUCCGUAACUGGUCUGAGAGGAUGAUCAGUCACACUGGAACUGAGACACGGUCCAGGCUCCUACGGGAGGCAGCAGUGGGGAAUAUUGGACAAUGGGCGAAAGCCUGAUACAGCCAUGCCGCGUGUGUGAAGAAGGUCUUCGGAUUGUAAAGCACUUUAAGUUGGGAGGAAGGGCAGUAAGUUAAUACCUUGCUGUUUUGACGUUACCAACAGAAUAAGCACCGGCUAACUUCGUG
rnacentral:rRNA from 1 species